AGUACUUCCUGGCUGCAGGUCUUCUGAGAUUCUCCACUCAGGCUCCUCUCAGCUGGGUGGCAUGCUCCACAGCAAGAGCACUGCAGCCCUGCACUCUUAAUGAUCCCCUCAGAGGCCUCUGCAGGAUGCAUUUGCAUGAGCAAUGAGAGGACAGAAACCGAAGUGCUGGGUGCUGCAUUAUCUGGAAAUGUCUGCUCGGUUUGCAGAAGGCCUCGCUCUGCAGAAGGCCUCGCUCUGCAGAAGGCCUCGCUCUCAUCUUUGCUUGGCUUCAUUUCACACGAACAUCCUCCUCCUCCACAUUCCUGGGUCCUAUGAAAUAUGGAUGCUGCAUUAAAAGCCGGAGGUACAAUGUAAUCAUUCCAUCUACACACAUAAAGAUGAAGCUCAAGUGUUCACAGGAAAUAAAACACCAAUUCCAGGAUCUUCACAUACAGGAUCUUACUACAUAGCUUUGAAUGGCCUGGAACUUGCAAUGUAGAUCAUGCUAGCCUGAAUUCACAGAAAUCCACCUACUUCUGUCUCUAGAAUGCUGAAGAAUAAAGACUGGUGUUACCACUAAAUAUCCUGAUUUUUUUUUUGAAUGUGUGGAGAAACACAGAUCAUUCAAACUUAGAAUGGAAUGUUUAUCAUGAUACAAAUCAUUUGUUGGACCAUACCAAUUUAAAAUUGUAUAACAAUUGCCAAAUUGUAAGGAAGUCGUCAAUAGAUUUAAUAAAUGAGAAGCAUCUAAGCUUCCACUGAGCAAAGAAUGUGUACAUAUACUUAUGUAUGCAGACAUGCAUGCGUGCAUAUAUAUAUAUGUAUAUAUAUAUAUAUGGCACAUCCAUGUAGAUAAAUAUAUGACCACGUCUCUCAUAUAUAUAUGUAUAUAUAUAUAUAUGCUGGAUUUUGUCUUUACAUAUGCAUAUGCAUUCAUUUUAUCAUUUGUCAAUUUUCAUUGGUUACAUUGAUGAAUAUAUCUCAUGAGCAAAAUAUGAACUGUCUUUCUAUAUAGCAAAGGAGGCACUGCAAAAAUGAAUCACCAUCUGCAGAGAACUUUGAAAAUGAGCCCUCACUCUUCUGUAUCAUUUUUACCACAUACGUCCCUUCUGUUGAAGGCGUCAACUGCUCCUGAUGAGGAUACCUGUACUUCCCUGGCUGGGCUGUGUACUGUUGCUUUUCCAGAGAACUGGUUUCUCUUCUUUCUUGGCCUGAGCGGAAUGCAAAUUAGGGACUUGUGGAGACAACCCCUGCCUAAGUCGAGAUGAAUCACUGGAUCAGGACUAAUCAAUGGCUCUGGGCAUUCUUUAGUGUUGCCUUGUAGAAUCUCUUAUAGGUGGUCCUUAUCUGCUGUGUGGCUGCUGGUGGGCAGCAUUGACCCGCACAACUGAAGUUCAUCAUUUUGAUACCUUGUAGAGCACACAAUGUCAAAGCCUUUACAGUGCUUUCUCUGGGCUGUCAGUUCUCUCACACAUGUAUACACACACACACACACACACACACACACACACACAUACACACUUGAAAUUUGUCUGAAUCAUAAAGCACCAACAAGGAAUGGCUUUGAUUAUGUAAAGUAAUUUCUUAAGGAAAACAAUUCUGUGAAUUUAUGAAUUAUAAGCAAGAGCAGACUCUUCAUGGUUUCUUGAGCAUCUGUGUCAGUUAGGUGUUUUUUGUCAACUUGAAACCAGUCAGGAUCAUCUAGGAAGAGGAACCUGAAAAUGAGAAAAUGUCUUUGUCAAAUUUUUCUGUAGGCAAGUCUAUUGGGCACUUUUUUUUAUUAGUGAUUAAUAUGAGACUGCCCAGCCCACUGUAGGUAGUACCACUUUGAGCAUGUUGUCCUGGGCAGGUUGUAUAAGAAAGCAAGAUAAGCAAGCCAUGGGGAGCAAGCCAGUAAGCAGUAGUCCUCCAUGGUCUCUGCUUCAGUUCCAGCCUCUGUGUUUGUGCCUCAAGUUCCCUUCAUGAUGGACUGCAAUUAGGACUUGUAAGCCAAAUACAUAUUUUCCUCUCCAAGGUAGUUUGAUCAUUGUCUUCAUCUUAGCAAUAGAAAUCUAAUUAGGACCAUGACUCUUCGUUUAAAACACCCAAGGUAUGUGAUGAUUUAUCAGAAUUAACAUGUAUUCAGGUAAAGAAUCCCUUUUAUUUAAAAUAUUUUAUUAAUAAAUUCAUUUAGUUUAUGUAAUGAUAAAUUCAUUUGCUCUGGAAAUUAUUAAUGGUUUAUAUUAUUAGAAUUUUGAAGUGAUGAAAUGAAUAUUAGUGACAAUUCUUGUUCUUCAUCUCUGCAUUAACGAGUCCAGAUGGUGACAUGUUUCAGUGAAAUACAUACGAAUUCACUCGUAGAUUUGAAAGCACUUGUCUUCUGUAUAUGGUUUCACAGGUAUGCUAACAGAACAUAUGACCAGCACUGAGCUCUUGUUUUUGACAUUUCCAUCCAACGUAAUUCAUACACCUCAUAAAAGUCUUCUCUGAAAGGAUGUGGAGAUCAUGUAGGAAGGCAAGUAGGUGUCUACACAUUACAACUUUCUCUCAUACAGGCUUCCUCUCCUCCCCCUCCCUCUCCUUCCUUUUCUUUUGUGUGUUGGGGAUGGAACCCAGGACCUUGUGUAGUUCAAGAAUAUGUUCUACACUGAGCUACUCCAUCAUCUUCCCUGUGUGUCCCUCCACAGUUACAUACCUUCAGAGAGCCAAAAAUAGAAGUGAGAACAUAGUUAACAAAAGAAACAGAGAUCCCAAUUUGCCACAUUAGCUAGUUUAAUCCACUAUAACUCAAGAGAAUGCCACUCGAUAGCUUAGCAGAGCUGGCUGCACUUCCUGCAGUGGACAUCUGGAUUUAAGCUUAGUUUUCCACUGUGCUUUAGACGCAAGAAACAGAGGUACUGUGACCAGCACAAGACUUGUCACAUAUACCUCUACAUAGUCUUCAUCUCUCACAUGGCAAACUAAAUGACUUAGAGACUUUAUUCACCGUUAUCAAGGAACAUUAGUUCAAAGAUUGUUUUUCUUGCUCAAAACUCCUGUCUGCAGACCACUCUGAAUCUGCCAUUCCUGAUGCAAGUAGGGUUCUUGACAUUUAGUGGCUGGCAAUCUGCCUUUUCAUUUUUCCCUUUGAUGCACCAGGGAAUAGCUCAAGGACUUCCCUACCCUCAAACCCCAUCAUAAGAUACUAAGAGAUGUUGUGUUGCCCAAGUCUUUGCCAGCUUGCCCGUGACACCUCAGGCUUGCUGGGUGACCUGAAAAGCCCACCAUGCCUGGAGAUUCAAAUGUGAGAAUACUAAUUUUGAGAGUUUGGGAAAAUGAAACAAGGCAUUAAUUAAGUCUCUACAGCACGUGAAAUAAAUUGUAUACUCUUUGAGAAUGAUUCUUUGCUCUUACUUAAGUUCAUUAAGCUAUUUAAAAUUUAAACAGGCACUACUCUGGGAAUUACAUUUCCCACCUGUCUGCAAAGAUUUAACAUUUUCACUAUUCUAUUGACAAGGGCUUCUGAAUUGAAAUGCUUGAUGUUUCCUAAUUAAUCAGUGUGAUGAAUUCUGUAGUUUUAUAGUCAUGCUUACAACAGUAAUUUCUUUGGAAUUAUGUCUUCUCAAGUACCUGUUGAUUAUUUGCUUAUGCCCAGGUACUAUUUAUUUGGACCCAGUGACCAGGGAAUAAAGUCUACCCUAUUGCCCCAGGAAACUAUUGGCAAUUGAUGGCUUCUAAGGGAGAGAAAGUUAGCUUUCUUUACCAUUUUUGCCCAGGUAAGUUGACGAUACUUCAAUGAAGACUACACAUCCGAAAGUAUAUGGUCAGCAUCAAUUAGACUUGAUGGGUGUUAAAAAAAAAUAAGGACACCAGUUGGGUGGGUAAGAAAGUGGAGAAAUCUGGGAGGAGCUGGGGCAGUAAUGUGAGCAAAAUCAAAUGUAUUGUAUAAAAAUAUAAAGGAAUUAAUAAAAAAGUAAAAUACCAAAA